CAGUCGCCGCGGUAAUACGAAGGGGGCUAGCGUUGUUCGGAAUCACUGGGCGUAGAGCGCACGUAGGCGGACACUUAAGUCAGAGGUGAAAUCCCAAGGCUCAACCUUGGAACUGCCUUUGAUACUGGGUGUCUUGAGUUCGGGAGAGGUGAGUGGAACUGCGAGUGUAGAGGUGAAAUUCGUAGAUAUUCGCAAGAACACCAGUGGCGAAGGCGGCUCACUGGCCCGAUACUGACGCUGAGGUGCGAAAGCGUGGGGAGCAAACAGGAUUAGAUACCCCCGUAGUCCCUGUCUCUUAUAC
rnacentral:rRNA from 1 species